UUGCAGGCUUGUGAUUGUACACUUGUGUGUGGGAAACCCAGGAAAUCCAGGCUCCCAUGCGCCAGCAUCCAUUGUGUUUAGCUUCCUCCUGUGUGCUAGUGUGUGUGUGUGUGUGUAGCUGCAGUGCUUCCCUCUCUCGUGGCUCUAAUGAGAAGCCGGAGGAAACCGGAGGAUUGCACUUGGCAAAGUAAACUGAAACACUCUGAUGAAUGGAUCAGGGGAGCUGUGUUUGCAGGAUUUACUUUGAUUAAGUCCACGCCGAAGUUCACCAUCAUCCAAGUUCACUCUUACUUUCUGUUCGCUCCUCCUUUUUUCCCUCCAUCAGAUCUGUGCCUGAGGAUCCUCUCUGCUGACAAUAGGACAGUGUGUCCAGAACAUCCACGACAAAGACUGCAGAUCAUAUCGUGAGUGGAAGAGCGACAACCUGAUGAACUCUCUUUGUGAUGGUGCGUCAUUGACUCCACUUGGCUCAGUUUCACUUUACGAUUAACUCCAAAGUCCCCAUGAGGGAAAAAUAAUCGUCACAGUGCAUUUUUCACAGAUGACUACAAGGACUGGAUGAGCUUCAAAUGAAAUGUUGAGCCGCCAGAAUGUAGGUCUUGCACCUCAGUCAGCUGACUCAUAAAGUUCCCUAAUUUGUCCCUAAAGGUGAUAGAAACCUGCCUCUGAUUGUCCUGUUUUUUCAGCAUUCCAACCACAAUCACCACCAAAUUCCACCACAUGUGGAAUGGCAGCAAAAAGGCUGUCGUUGAUCGCCGCUGAUUGUUUCCAUUCAAGUUAAUGUGUCAAAUUCCACCGGUUUCUUUCCAGCCCCCUGCGGUUCAGUGGGCUCGAUCGCCAGAGUUCUGUUUUUUCCGGACGCCGCAACAUGCCACAUCAAUUCAGCACAGAUUAGCCCAUGCUGGAAAGGAAGUCGGACACAGACACAAAAUUAAACAUCCAACAUGACGUGUUUCAGGCGGAUCGUAUUUCACACCAUGCAAACGUGGGUAUGGACGAACAAGUGAAAGGUUUUCAGACGUCAUUUCACCCUGUUGGCAAUAUGGAUGAUGAGAUGCUAAUUCUGGAAGUCCAAAAUCACGUAAUAAUCGAUGACCUGUCUCAUCCCUUAUAUAAGUACAAUCAUAAAAAGAAUAUGACAUGGGAUUCCAUAGCCAAUUGAUAUCGCGCAAUUGCAUGUGAAUUUGCAGAUUCUUGUGAGUCCUCAUGAUUCCCACUGUCUGAAAUUUGCCAUGAAAUUUGCCUCAUAAACGUAUCUGGUAGGAUUUGGCAGACAGUGAAAAUCGCUGCCAUUCUGCAUUCAGUGGAGUUUGUGGGUAAGGGUGCACAGGGUGGACUUAUGGUGCGUUUCAGUUACCAGAAGUCAGAAGUCGGAGCUGAAAAUGUCAUCACACCCUAGUGCCCAGCGUUUCAGAUACCAAGUUGGAAAAAAGCAAAAUCGGAGGCAGAAACAAGAUAGAUACAUCUACGAAAGUUAUUUAAGUGCUUGCCUUUGUUCAAAUAUAAGGCAAGCACUUCAGGCCUCCGAUUUUUCUUUUUUCCGACUUGGUAACUGACCUCUGAGGUAACUCAAACGCAGCAUUAGUGUCUUAUCCUCAUACAGUUUGUCUUGUUAGUAGCAGGUGCAGGGAAUCCAACUUGGGUCUUCGCACCAAAACCUCACUAACUCUCAUGCACACCUUCCUUCCCUCCACGAUAACACGAGCGUUGAAUCAGUCCUGCCGAUGAGACCAUCAUUUCCUGAAAGUUGCCCAAAACUGUUCACGAGUCUCCGGAUAAUCUUUUCCUGGAAAAACUGUCUGAUGUUCUUUAAUUUGUCUCAUUUUUAUCUGGUUCAAAGCACAGACUUUCAAAAUCAGGGCGAAUAAUCCCCAAACUCUCCGUGCGCAGGGCGGGAUGCCAGCAGCAAGGAGAGAACAGGAAAAUAAAGUCCUUGUGUAAUUUUAACGAUGGGAUGUCCCGUGUCUGUCUGCACAUGUCUGCAGUCUGUAGGUCAGAGCAUUGUUACCCAGACCUGUUUUCCACGGGUUUAUCUCAGGUCACUCUGUUUUGGAGGUUAUUAUGACAUUCUCUCUCUGUUUUAAGGUGUUUUCUCUCGGCUCGUCACAUUCCAUCUGCGUGGAUGUUCAGAAGAGACCAAACAUUCAGGAGCAGUAACACAAGGUUAGCGAGGGUCACCGCUGUUCUUACACAACAUGAAGUUCACUGACCCUGUGAGUAUCUGUGCAGCAAAACACAAGGUUGAAAACAGAGAAUAACACCGCCGCUGCAGCGGGGAAAUCCUUCAUGAAAAACAAUCCGGAUCCAGGAGUCUGUGUUCUUGGCUCUGGUCGGAGUCCUCGAAGAAGCUCAGAAGUGUUUCUGAAAUUCUUGGAAGAAUGUCUCAGCUCCGGACAAUCGUAGCACAUCUGAGAGCUUUAAUCCUUGCAUCUGGGUUAGAUUAGACGGAGAAUUCGGUGAAUCAGGUUGAAUCAUGUGUGCUCUCCUCUGCGGCUGACAUUGUGAUGGUUUUUGAAGACCUCAUGUGGAGAUGUGAACCUGUAACUGCCAAGAUUUUACAGAGGAGAACAUAACAAUAAAGGAGUGG
rnacentral:lncRNA from 1 species